GGAAGAAGAAAGGAAGGAGGCGAGGGAGAAGGACUCAGAGAAAAGAGGAGAGGAAAAGAGAGGAGAGGAGAGGAAAGAAAAGCAAGGUCUCGCUGUGUUACCCUGGCUGGAGUGCAGUGGCUACUUACAGGCAUGAUCAUAGCAUACUGCAGCCUCGAACUCCUGGACUAGAGCAGUUCUCCUGCCUCAGCCUCCAGAGCAGCUGGGACUGCAGACACGCACCACAGAGCCCAGCCUGAGUCAUUUUGAUUCUGUAACUGGCUUCCUCUCGGCGGGCAGGCUCACACCCUCCACCCCCAGCUGGAGAUGGAAGGAGGAUGCUCACCGCCCAUUCCUCAUGCAGGCCAUCGAUGGAAAUGUCAGACAGUGCGAGUCCACGCCUGAACACUUCUGGGGUCCGCUCUGGGACUGACACUGGCAGAUCCAUCGUGGCACCCGAGCUCUGUGAGGGCAAGACUUUGUUCGGUUGUGGGCUAUGCCCCCAACCCCUCGGACAGUGCCUGCACAGGUGGACAUUUUUGUUGGAUGAAGGAUUUUCUGUUAAAUGUGUCUGGCACACACAGAAAAACAAAGCCCAGCAGAUGCCGUUCCAUUGUUUGCUGACUUUCAUUGAUUCUAUGAGAAGUCUGCAGUCUUUUGCAGCGUUGUUUUCCUAUGUAUAAUUGUCUCCUCCCACCCCACUCACCCCAGCUGCUUUCCACAUUCUCUCUCUUUGAUUUUCAGCAGUCUGCCCAUGAUGUGCCUAAAUAGGACUUUCUUUGCAUUCAUCUUGGCUGGGGCUCACUGAACUUUCUGAAUCUGUAGAUUAAUUUUCUUUUUUCAAUAAACCUUGGAAUAUUUUCAGCAUAA
rnacentral:lncRNA from 1 species